CAGGACCCUGGGAUCAUGACCCAAGCCGAAGGCAAAGGCCUUAACCCACUGAGCCACCCAGGCAGCCCAUUUUUUCAUAUUUUAACAA